GACGAACGCUGGCGGCGUGCCUAACACACGCAAGUCGAACGGAGAUUUUAUUUAUGAAAUCUUAGUGGCGAACGGGUGAGUAACGCGUAGACAACCUGCCUUUUAGAUGGGGACAACACCGCGAAAGUGGUGCUAAUACCGAAUGUUGUAUUUUGGUCGCAUGAUUGAGAUACUAAAGAUGGCCUCUAUUUAUAAGCUAUCACUAAAAGAUGGGUCUGCGUCUGAUUAGCUAGUUGGUGAGGUAAUGGCUCACCAAGGCGACGAUCAGUAGCCGGUCUGAGAGGAUGAACGGGCACACUGGGACUGAGACACGGCCCAGGCUCCUACGGGAGGCAGCAGUGGGGAAUCUUCCGCAAUGGACGAAAGUCUGACGGAGCAACGCCGCGUGAGUGAAGAAGGUUUUCGGAUCGUAAAACUCUGUUUUCAGGGACGAAUGUGCGAUGUGUAAAUAAUGCAUUGUAAUGACGGUACCUGAGUAGAAAGCCACGGCUAACUACGUGCCAGCCGCCGCCGUAA
rnacentral:rRNA from 1 species